AGAGUUUGAUCCUGGCUCAGGACGAACGCUAGCGACAGGCUUAACACAUGCAAGUCGAGGGGCAGCGGGGGUGCAGGCUUGCCUGCACCUGCCGGCGACCGGCGCACGGGUGAGUAACACGUAUGGAACCUGCCCGCCACAGGGGGAUAACCCGGGGAAACCCGGCCUAAUACCCCAUGCCGCCCGGACCGGGCAUCCGGACCGGGCGAAAGGAGUAAUCCGGUGGCGGCUGGGCAUGCGGCGCAUUAGCUUGACGGCGGGGUAACGGCCCACCGUGGCGACGAUGCGUAGGGGUUCUGAGAGGAAGGCCCCCCACACUGGUACUGAGACACGGACCAGACUCCUACGGGAGGCAGCAGUGAGGAAUAUUGGUCAAUGGGCGGGAGCCUGAACCAGCCAAGUCGCGUGAGGGAUGACGGCCCUAUGGGUUGUAAACCUCUUUUGCCGGGGAGCAAAGUGCCGCACGUGUGCGGUUUGGAGAGUACCCGGAGAAAAAGCAUCGGCUAACUCCGUGCCAGCAGCCGCGGUAAUACGGAGGAUGCGAGCGUUAUCCGGAUUUAUUGGGUUUAAAGGGUGCGUAGGCGGACGCUUAAGUCAGCGGUAAAAUUGCGGGGCUCAACCUCGUCGAGCCGUUGAAACUGGGUGCCUUGAGUGGGCGAGAAGUACGCGGAAUGCGUGGUGUAGCGGUGAAAUGCAUAGAUAUCACGCAGAACUCCGAUUGCGAAGGCAGCGUACCGGCGCCCAACUGACGCUGAAGCACGAAGGCGUGGGUAUCGAACAGGAUUAGAUACCCUGGUAGUCCACGCCGUAAACGAUGAUUACUAGGUGUCGGUGGGUAUGGACCCAUCGGUGCCGCAGCAAACGCAGUAAGUGAUCCACCUGGGGAGUACGUUCGCAAGAAUGAAACUCAAAGGAAUUGACGGGGACCCGCACAAGCGGUGGAGCAUGUGGUUUAAUUCGAAGCAACGCGAAGAACCUUACCAAGGCUUGACAUCUCGAUGACGAAUGUAGAGAUACAUUUUUUCUUCGGAACAUCGAUGACAGGUGGUGCAUGGUUGUCGUCAGCUCGUGUCGUGAGAUGUUGGGUUAAGUCCCGCAACGAGCGCAACCCUUAUCUUCAGUAGCCAGCAUAUAAGGUGGGCACUCUGGAGAAACUGCCGUGGAUAACACGGAGGAAGGUGGGGAUGACGUCAAAUCAUCAUGCCCCUUAUGUCUUGGGCAACACACGUGCUACAAUGGCUGGAAACAAAGUGAAGCGAGACGGUGACGUUAAGCAAAGCACAAAAACCCAGUCCCAGUUCGGAUUGUAGUCUGCAACUCGACUACAUGAAGCUGGAAUCGCUAGUAAUCGCGAAUCAGAAUGUCGCGGUGAAUGCGUUCCCGGGCCUUGCACACACCGCCCGUCAAG
rnacentral:rRNA from 1 species